rnacentral:tRNA from 1 species
CAAGGGAUAGUUUAAUUAAAAAUAUUAGUUUUGGAGAUUAAUGCUGGAGGAAAACUCUUCCCUUGA